rnacentral:pre_miRNA from 1 species
UUUUAUGAAUGAGCAAAGAAAGGGAUUUCUUGAGAUGGAAUUUACUCCUAUUGAAUAUACUGUGAA